rnacentral:rRNA from 1 species
AUUGAACGCUGGCGGCAUGCUUUACACAUGCAAGUCGGACGGCAGCACAGAGAAGCUUGCUUCUUGGGUGGCGAGUGGCGAACGGGUGAGUAACAUAUCGGAACGUACCGAGCAGUGGGGGAUAACUAAUCGAAAGAUUAGCUAAUACCGCAUAUCUUCUGAGGAAGAAAGCAGGGGACCAUUUGGCCUUGCGCUGUUUGAGCGGCCGAUAUCUGAUUAGCUAGUUGGUGGGGUAAAGGCCUACCAAGGCGACGAUCAGUAGCGGGUCUGAGAGGAUGAUCCGCCACACUGGGACUGAGACACGGCCCAGACUCCUACGGGAGGCAGCAGUGGGGAAUUUUGGACAAUGGGCGCAAGCCUGAUCCAGCCAUGCCGCGUGUCUGAAGAAGGCCUUCGGGUUGUAAAGGACUUUUGUCAGGGAAGAAAAGGGCGGGGUUAAUACCCCUGUCUGAUGGCGGUACCUGAAGAAUAAGCACCGGCUAACUACGUG